GACGAACGCUGGCGGCGUGCCUAACACAUGCAAGUCGAGCGGGGUUGAAGCGAGGGGUAACUCGAGUUUCUACCUAGCGGCGGACGGGUGAGUAACGCGUGGGCAACCUGCCUCAAGGACUGGGAUAACAGCUCGAAAGGGCUGCUAAUACCGGAUAAGCCUAUGGCCUCGCAUGGGGCCAUGAGCAAAGGGGAAACCCGCCUUGAGAUGGGCCCGCGUCCCAUCAGCUAGUUGGUGAGGUGAAGGCUCACCAAGGCGACGACGGGUAGCCGGCCUGAGAGGGUGACCGGCCACACUGGGACUGAGACACGGCCCAGACUCCUACGGGGGGCAGCAGUGGGGAAUCUUGCACAAUGGGCGAAAGCCUGAUGCAGCGACGCCGCGUGAGCGAAGAAGGCCUUCGGUUGUAAAGCUCUGUCUGGAGGGACGAAGGAAGUGACGGUACCUCCGGAGGAAGCCACGGCUAACUACGUG
rnacentral:rRNA from 1 species